AACACAUGCAAGUCGAGCGGUAGCACAGAGAGCUUGCUCUCGGGUGACGAGCGGCGGACGGGUGAGUAAUGUCUGGGAAACUGCCUGAUGGAGGGGGAUAACUACUGGAAACGGUAGCUAAUACCGCAUAAUGUCGCAAGACCAAAGUGGGGGACCUUCGGGCCUCAUGCCAUCAGAUGUGCCCAGAUGGGAUUAGCUAGUAGGUGGGGUAACGGCUCACCUAGGCGACGAUCCCUAGCUGGUCUGAGAGGAUGACCAGCCACACUGGAACUGAGACACGGUCCAGACUCCUACGGGAGGCAGCAGUGGGGAAUAUUGCACAAUGGGCGCAAGCCUGAUGCAGCCAUGCCGCGUGUGUGAAGAAGGCCUUCGGGUUGUAAAGCACUUUCAGCGGGGAGGAAGGCGAUAAGGUUAAUAACCUUGUCGAUUGACGUUACCCGCAGAAGAAGCACCGGCUAACUCCGUGCCAGCAGCCGCGGUAAUACGGAGGGUGCAAGCGUUAAUCGGAAUUACUGGGCGUAAAGCGCACGCAGGCGGUCUGUCAAGUCGGAUGUGAAAUCCCCGGGCUCAACCUGGGAACUGCAUUCGAAACUGGCAGGCUAGAGUCUUGUAGAGGGGGGUAGAAUUCCAGGUGUAGCGGUGAAAUGCGUAGAGAUCUGGAGGAAUACCGGUGGCGAAGGCGGCCCCCUGGACAAAGACUGACGCUCAGGUGCGAAAGCGUGGGGAGCAAACAGGAUUAGAUACCCUGGUAGUCCACGCCGUAAACGAUGUCGAUUUGGAGGUUGUGCCCUUGAGGCGUGGCUUCCGGAGCUAACGCGUUAAAUCGACCGCCUGGGGAGUACGGCCGCAAGGUUAAAACUCAAAUGAAUUGACGGGGGCCCGCACAAGCGGUGGAGCAUGUGGUUUAAUUCGAUGCAACGCGAAGAACCUUACCUGGUCUUGACAUCCACAGAACUUAGCAGAGAUGCUUUGGUGCCUUCGGGAACUGUGAGACAGGUGCUGCAUGGCUGUCGUCAGCUCGUGUUGUGAAAUGUUGGGUUAAGUCCCGCAACGAGCGCAACCCUUAUCCUUUGUUGCCAGCGGUUCGGCCGGGAACUCAAAGGAGACUGCCAGUGAUAAACUGGAGGAAGGUGGGGAUGACGUCAAGUCAUCAUGGCCCUUACGACCAGGGCUACACACGUGCUACAAUGGCAUAUACAAAGAGAAGCGACCUCGCGAGAGCAAGCGGACCUCAUAAAGUAUGUCGUAGUCCGGAUUGGAGUCUGCAACUCGACUCCAUGAAGUCGGAAUCGCUAGUAAUCGUAGAUCAGAAUGCUACGGUGAAUACGUUCCCGGGCCUUGUACACACCGCCCGUCACACCAUGGGAGUGGGUUGCAAAAGAAGUAGGUAGCUUAACCUUCGGGAGGGCGCUACCA
rnacentral:rRNA from 1 species